rnacentral:rRNA from 1 species
CGGAAGGAUCAUUAACGAGAGGGGUUUUCGGACCCCGGGGCUUCGCCCCUAACUCUUCACCCUCUGCUUACGUACCAUUGUUGCUUUGGCGGGCCCUGGGGUUCGCCCCUGGCCGGCCGGUGGUUUAGCGGCCCCGGCUCGCUCGUGCCCGCCAGAGGCCCAUUAAACCCAACCUUAUCCUUUGACGUCCGAGCAAAAAUACAAUCGUAAAAACUUUCAACAACGGAUCUCUUGGUUCUGGCAUCGAUGAAGAACGCAGCGAAAUGCGAUAAGUAAUGUGAAUUGCAGAAUUCAGUGAAUCAUCGAAUCUUUGAACGCACAUUGCGCCCCUCGGUAUUCCGGGGGGCAUGCCUGUUCGAGCGUCAUUACACCCCUCAAGCUCCGCUUGGUAUUGGGUCUUCGCUCUUCGGGGCGGGCCCGAAAGUUAGUGGCGGCCCGGCGUGACUUCGAGCGUAGUAAUUUUUCUCCCGCUCUGGAAGCUCGCGCCGUGACCGGCCAGAACGCCCAAAUUUUUCAAUGAU